GAUGAAGAAGGUAGCGAAAUGCGAUACGUCAUGUGAAUUGCAGAAUUCAGUGAAUCAUCGAGUCUUUGAACGCACAUUGCGCCCCCUGGUAUUCCGGGGGGCAUGCCUGUCCGACCGUCAUUGCUGCCCUCAAGCACGGCUUGUGUGUUGGGCCUCCGUCCUCCUCCCGGGGGACGGGCCCGAAAGGCAGCGGCGGCACCGCGUCCGGUCCUCGAGCGUAUGGGGCUUCGUCACCCGCUCUUGUAGGCCCGGCCGGCGCUUGCCGACACAUCAAUCUUUUUUCCAGGUUGACCUCGGAUCAGGUAGGGAUACCCGCUGAACUUAAGCAUAUCAAUAAGCGGAGGA
rnacentral:misc_RNA from 1 species